AGGAGGAGAAGGGAGGGGCAUUUAACGGUGGCAGCUGGUUCUGCGCCGGAUCCGGGAGCGGGGCGGGCGCCAUUGUGCUUCGCUGCCGACUGCUCGGCCUCCGAGUCCUCGCGCUCUGAGGAGGAAGGCGGCGGUGAGGGCGCCGGGAGCGGGUCGCGCCCUGGUCAGGACCAGCCCCGGAGCGGAGGAAACCUUAAGAAUGGAGUCUAAACCUUCAAGGAUUCCAAGAAGAAUUUCUGUUCAACCCCCCAGCUCUUUAAGUGCUAGGAUGAUGUCUGGAAACAGAGGAAGUAGUUUAAAUGAUACCUAUCACUCAAGAGACUCUUCAUUUAGACUGGAUUCUGAUUAUCAGUCUACAUCUGCAUCAGCAGCUGCAUCUCCAUUUCAAUCUACAUGGUAUAGUGAAUCUGAGAUAACUCAGGGUGCACGCUCAAGAUCACAAAACCAGCUACGGGAUCAUGAUUCAAAAAGACCUAAACUUUCCUGUACAAACUGUACAUCUACCUCAGCUGGGAGAAAUGUUGGACAUGGUUUAAAUGCAGUAUCAGAUUCUUGGAGACAUAGUCAAGUUCCCAGAUCUUCAUCAGUGGUACUUGGAUCAUUUGGAAGUGACUUAAUGAGAGAGAGGAGAGAUUUAGAAAGGAGAGCAGAUUCCUCCAUUAGUAAUUUUAUGGACUAUAGUCACCGAAGUAGUGAUUUCACAACUUCAUCGUAUGUUCAAGACAGAGUUCCUUCUUCAUAUUCACAGGGAGCAAGACCAAAAGAGAACUCAGUGAGCACUUUACAACUGAAUACAUCAUCCACAAACCAACAAAUGCCUUCUGAACGCCAGACUGUACUGUGCUCUAGGGAUUCUAGUAGAAAUUCUGUAAGAUCAAAUUUUUCUCCAAGAGAAUUGGAGUCUCUCCAAAGCAAUACACAGCCUGGAUUUUCUUAUAUUUCAAAUAGAGGUGAAACCUCAGCCAUAAGCAAUUCAGAUAGGAUUGGUUCAUCUCAAAGAUCAUUUCAAGAAUCUUCUGACAAUGAAGGUAGACGUACGACAAGGAGAUUGCUGUCACGUAUAGCUUCUAGCAUGUCAUCUACUUUUUUUUCACGAAGGUCUAGUCAGGAAUCCUUAAAUACAAGAUCAUUGAGCUCUGAAAAUUCAUAUGUUUCUCCAAGAAUUUCUUCACAGUCUCGUAAUGCAGCAUCAACUUCCGACGUUCUUGAUAAUAGGGCAUCUGAAACUUCUCAGGGAUUUCGAUUUCUUAGGCGAAGAUGGGGUUUGUCAUCUCAAAAUCAUAGCACUGAGCCAGAUUCAGAAAAUUUUAACCAGGAAUCUGAAGGUAGAAAUACAGGACCCUGGUUAUCUUCCUCACUUAGAAAUAGAUGCACACCUUUGUUCUCUAGAAGGAGGCGAGAGGGACGAGAUGAAUCUUCAAGGAUAUCAACUUCUGAUACACAAUCUCGAUCUCAUAUUUUUAGAAGAGAAUCAAAUGAAGUGGUUCACCUGGAAGCACAGAGUGAUCACCUUGGGGCUCCUGCCAACAGAUCACAAACACCUGCAGCAUCCAGCAGUGCUGCUACAGGUGGCUCCAUGUCAGAUUCGGCUCGCAGUGGAAGAAACACAGGAAUGACAGGGAUCCUUCCUGGUUCCUUGUUUCGAUUUGCAGUCCCCCCAACACUUGGAAGUAAUUUGACCGAUAAUGUCAUGAUCACUGUAGAUAUUAUUCCUUCAGGUUGGAGUUCAUCUGGUGGGAAAAGUGAUAAAACUAAAAGUGCACCUUCAAGAGACCCAGAAAAACUGCAGAAAAUAAAAGAGAGCCUCCUUUUAGAGGACUCUGAAGAAGAAGAAGGUGACUUAUGUAGAAUUUGUCAGAUGGCAGCUGCAUCAUCAUCUAACUUGCUAAUAGAGCCAUGCAAGUGCACAGGAAGUUUGCAGUAUGUCCAUCAAGAGUGUAUGAAAAAGUGGUUACAGGCGAAAAUUAACUCUGGUUCUUCCUUAGAGGCUGUGACCACCUGCGAACUCUGUAAGGAGAAGUUACAGCUCAACCUGGAGGACUUUGACGUCCAUGAACUGCACAGAGCUCAUGCAAAUGAACAAGUUAGUAUAUUUUCCCUUGUUGGCUGAGUAUGAGUUUAUCAGCUCUGGUCUCUACCUAGUUGUGUUAUUGCACUUGUGCGAACAAAGCUUUUCUGAUAUGAUGGGAAAUACAAGUGAACCAAGCACACGAGUCCGAUUUAUUAACCUUGCAAGAACUCUUCAGGCACAUAUGGAAGAUCUCGAAACUUCAGAGGAUGAUUCUGAAGAAGAUGGAGAACAUAACAGAACAUUUGAUAUUGCCUAACUUCAUAUAAGACAAAUGGAUGAUCUGUUAACAAGUGUUUAUUAAAACUGGCAAUUAAGUAUGAGUUAAUUUUGUGGGGGAAUGCCUAUUAAAUACAUUAUAUAAAUAAAAUGAAUAUAUAUAUAUAUAUAUAUACACACACACGUAUGCAUGUGUAUAUAUAUAUAUAUAUAUUCAUUCUCAAGUGUUGCUGAAUUAAAAUUCUACUUGCUGGACCUUUUAACAUGGCCAGUCACUGAUGUUAAUAAACUGGUAAUCAAAAGUAUUUUUCUUUUAGGUGAGUGGGGAAGUGUUAUAUUGUUUUAAAUAUCUAAGCAAUGCCUACAACCCUUUUUUUGUUCUGAUUAUUGUAGUCAUAUUUAUGAAAAUGGUUCGUGUUUUAGCCCUUUGCUAGUGAAAAAAAAUGAGACAAAACUGCUUUCAAAAUAAAAUGCCAAAUGGCACCUAAUUAUUUUUCCUUUUAAAAUGCCUUAAGUUGCGGUCUCAUUUACAUAAUCAUUUGCUUCCGGUGUUUAAAAAGAAAAAAGAAUGAGUAGGGGGGAGUAAGUUAUGAAGAGCAUUAUAUUAGGUGUCCAAAUUUACUUUAAAUUCUAAAUUUAUUUAGCGGUAAUACCUAAUUUUUAGAAAAGUAUAUAAAUUUAAAAUGUAUAAAUGAUGGAUACAUUUUUGUAUUGAUUUGAAAAAUGCAGGUUAUAUUUGAUAGGCCAUAGUAUGUAGAUAUUCCUUUAGGAAUAUUUCAGCUCUAAAUUAUACCAGAAUUGCCAGUCAAGUGCUAUUUGGUAAAAAGAAAAUUAUUGCAAUCUCAAGUUAAUGGAAUAUUUUUAAAUCCCACAUUCAAAGUUUAAAACACUGGUUUUCAAUAUGUUUUUUAGUGUUGUCACUUCUUCGUAAAUAAAAACCUGUUUGGAUCCUGACCGUUUUUAACUGUUGUUAAUCUGAGCAUUUAUUUAGUGGCUUACUAUUUUCACUACAUUUGGAGAACAAAAGAACUUUACCUGUUCACCAUGAAUAGAUCUACACUGUGGUCAUGCGUCGUGUAUAAUUCCAGAACAGUGUAUUUUCUCUGUGAGCAACCUUAGGAUACACUCAAAAACACUUUCAUAUGGUUUUAGGUUGAAUAAAGUCGUAGGCCAUGGCAACAAACUUCUUUUUCCAAAUCUAAAUAGAAACCAUGUAAUUUCUCAAAUCUGAAUCAACAUUUACUUUGUUGGUCUUCAUGUAAAACCUUGGCUCAAAAUAAAGUAUACUGAUUGAUUUA